GAUGAACGCUGGCGGCGUGCCUAAUACAUGCAAGUCGAGCGAACGGACGAGAAGCUUGCUUCUCUGAUGUUAGCGGCGGACGGGUGAGUAACACGUGGAUAACCUACCUAUAAGACUGGGAUAACUUCGGGAAACCGGAGCUAAUACCGGAUAAUAUUUUGAACCGCAUGGUUCAAAAGUGAAAGACGGUCUUGCUGUCACUUAUAGAUGGAUCCGCGCUGCAUUAGCUAGUUGGUAAGGUAACGGCUUACCAAGGCAACGAUGCAUAGCCGACCUGAGAGGGUGAUCGGCCACACUGGAACUGAGACACGGUCCAGACUCCUACGGGAGGCAGCAGUAGGGAAUCUUCCGCAAUGGGCGAAAGCCUGACGGGGCAACGCCGCGUGAGUGAUGAAGGUCUUCGGAUCGUAAAACUCUGUUAUUAGGGAAGAACAUAUGUGUAAGUAACUGUGCACAUCUUGACGGUACCUAAUCAGAAAGCCACGGCUAACUACGUG
rnacentral:rRNA from 1 species